UUGAACUCACAUCCUCAUGGAUACUAGUUGGGUUGGUUAACCACUGAGCCACUAUGGGAACUCCCUCUAUCCCACUUUUGACCUUAUGCUUUCAGCAGCCAGCUUUGCUUUUUCAGGGGAAAUAAACACUCAGAUGCGAACUACAGCACUGACUGCCAGUCCACUUUAACUUCAUCAGCAGACCUCCAUCUCUCCUGUCUCAGACAAAGAGCCAGUGUCUGAUGCCCCAUAAGGAUGUAAAAUUAUAAGGCAAUGUCUUCUUCAAAGGUGAAAAACAAGCUCCAGAUGUUUCCAAUAGCAGGACAGUUGCAUGGGGUGGAGGCUGCAUUCAGAUAUCUAAAGGAGGUGGCUGGACCUCAGCAAGUGACACUGGGCUGGGAGAUGGGGGAUGAAGGGUACAUGCUGAGGUUGGAAGCAGAUUAAGAACUUUCAGCUCCCUGAAGGACAGCCACACUUUCUUAGAAACAUUUCCUUUAUUUUCAUCAUCUGAGGGCAACUUGCAACAGAGUUGCUGAGCUCUGAUUUUUCAUUUUAGUUGCAAGCUGGACCUUGAAGGAGGAGAAGGUGGGCUUUUCAGUAGCAUUUGCCUGUAGAUGCCUCUCGUUUGCUAGGGAUGAAGAUCUCACAUUGCCUGUGGUGACUGGUCCAGUAAAGUCCUGGGAGAACAGGGCUGCAAAGGGCUCUUUCUUGUAAAGAAUGCUUUGAGGUCAUUCCCAGUGGUAAUGAAUCGACUAAUACCCACGCAGAUUAGGGUUCAAUUCCUGGCGUCACUCAGUGGGUUACGGAUCUGUCAUUGCUGUGAGCUGUGGUA